UGAGCUCGUCGAAAGAGAAAGUAGAAAAAGAGAUGAAAGGCCUUGUGUUUGACAUAAUCAUCAUCAUUUUGUGGCAAGAUCCUGCUAUAAGCAAUGGUAACAUUUUGAUGCAAAGAAUAAGAGCCGACUUACAAGGUGGUGGAGGGCCAGGUGAAAGGUUUCUCGAUUCCUUUAGACGAAGAAUUAAUACCGGCGUUGGUCUCUCUGAUCCUGGUUUUGCGAGCAGGCGACU